rnacentral:misc_RNA from 1 species
AACUUUUAACAAUGGAUCUCUUGGCUCUCGCAUCGAUGAAGAACACAGCGCAAUGUGAUAAGUAAUGUGAAUUGCAGAAUUCAGUGAAUCAUCGAAUCUUUGAACGCACCUUGCACCCUUUGGUAUUCCAAAGGGUAUGCUCGUUUGAGUGUCAUUGUACUCUCAUACUCUCUGAUCUUAGGAUUGAGAGUGGUGGACUUGGGUGUUGCUGCGUCACUGUGGCUCACCGGAAAUGCAUUAGUGCAACAGUUGACUAAACAUAGUAUAGCAUUAUAAGCAUCUUUGCCAGCACCUCUCCGGACGGUAGUCAGUCAAGAGCUCUGUGCUUCUAACUGUCUUUAGAAAAUGUUGACAAUUUGACCUCAAAUCAAGUAGGACUACCCGCUGAACAUAAGCAUAUCAAUAUGCAGAGGCU